rnacentral:misc_RNA from 1 species
AAGUCGUAACAAGGUUUCCGUAGGUGAACCUGCGGAAGGAUCAUUAUUGAAUAAACCUGGCGUGGUUGUAGCUGGUCCUCUCGGGGACAUGUGCUCGCCCGUCAUCUUUAUAUCUUCACCUGUGCACCCUUUGUAGACCUGGACGAUAACUUUCCGAGGCAACUCGGUCGGGAGGACUGCUGGCUUUCACGAGUCGGCUUUCCUUGUAUUAUCCAGGCCUAUGUCUUACACAUACCCCAAAGAAUGUAACAGAAUGUAUUGUAUAUGGCCUAGUGCCUAUAAACUAUAUACAACUUUCAGCAACGGAUCUCUUGGCUCUC